ACUCAAAUGAAUUGACGGGGGCCCGCACAAGCGGUGGAACAUGUGGUUUAAUUCGACGCAACGCGAAGAACCUUACCCGGGCUUGAACUACUCGUGGUAGUUCGCUAGAAAUAGUGGACGACCCGCAAGGGAGCGAGCAGAGGUGCUGCAUGGUUGUCGUCAGCUCGUGUCGUGAGAUGUUGGGUUAAGUCCCGCAACGAGCGCAACCCCUAUCCAAUGUUGCUAAUCCCGCAAGGGAUGCACUCUUUGGAAACUGCCUUCGAUAAGAAGGAGGAAGGUGGGGACGACGUCAAAUCCUCAUGGCCCUUAUGUCCGGGGCAACACACGUGUUACAAUGGCCGGUACAGAGGGAAGCAAUACCGCAAGGUGGAGCAAAACUCAAAAAGCCGGCCCCAGUUCAGAUCGUGGGCUGCAACUCGCCCACGUGAAGGCGGAAUCGCUAGUAAUCGCAGAUCAGCAGGCUGCGGUGAAUACGUUCCCGGGCCUUGUACACACCGCCCGU
rnacentral:rRNA from 1 species